ACCAGAAUGCAUCACAUUCGUAGCCAAACUUUAAAGAGAAGAAAACUAAGAACAUGAUAUCCAGGAUAUUAGUUGACGCUUUUAAAGUAUUUUGUACUGACUUCCGAUUUACUUUAUAUUCAUUACGUCAUAGUCUUAAUCGGGAACCGUUUAACACAUAAAUUGAAUAUUGGAAGUCCUGUACACUAUGUGUGAGUAAAUAUGAUCUUAUAAAAUGUAAAAUGGACUGUGAGUAUUGGAUUUAGUCUGAGGAGUGCCAUAUUAUCCGAAGAAAGGAUCAAUUUUAAACUUAUCACUUACAACAUUUAAAUACAGAAAUAAUGGUUAACAAAAAGUCUUCUCAUUAGAAGACUAGAAAUUUGGAAACUGAACAAAAUCUUAGAUGACAUCUUCAUUCGAACUCGAUGACAAACUUGAAUCUAAAUAUUACCAGAAUGCAUCACAUUCGUAGCCAAACUUUAAAGAGAAGAAAACUAAGAACAUGAUAUCCAGGAUAUUAGUUGACGCUUUUAAAGUAUUUUGUACUGACUUCCGAUUUACUUUAUAUUCAUUACGUCAAAGUCUUAAUCGGGAACCGUUUAACACAUAAAUUGAAUAUUGGAAGUCCUGUACACUAUGUGUGAGUAGAUAUGAUCUUAUAAAAUGUAAAAUGGACUGUGAGUAUUGGAUUUAGUCUGAGGAGUGCCAUAUUAUCCGAAGAAAGGAUCAAUUUUAAACCUAUCACUUACAACAUUUAAAUACAGAAAUAAUGGUUAACAAAAAGUCUUCUCAUUAGAAGACUAGAAAUUUGGAAACUGAACAAAAUCUUAGAUGACAUCUUCAUUCGAACUCGAUGACAAACUUGAAUCUAAAUAUUACCAGAAUGCAUCACAUUCGUAGCCAAACUUUAAAGAGAAGAAAACUAAGAACAUGAUAUCCAGGAUAUUAGUUGACGCUUUUAAAGUAUUUUGUACUGACUUCCGAUUUACUUUAUAUUCAUUACGUCAAAGCCUUAACCGGAAACCGUUUAACACAUAAAUUGAAUAUUGAAAGUCCUGUACAUUAUGUGUGAGUAAAUAUGAUCUUAUAAAAUGUAAAAUGGACUGUGAGUAUUGGAUUUAGUCUGAGGAGUACCAUAUUAUCCGAAGAAAGGAUCAAUUUUAAACUUAUCACUUACAACAUUUAAAUACAGAAAUAAUGGUUAACAAAAAGUCUUCUCAUUAGAAGACCAGAAAUUUGGAAACUUAACAAAAUAUUAGAUGACAUCUUCAUUCGAACUCGAUGACAAACUUGAAUCUAAAUAUUACCAGAAUGCAUCACAUUCGUAGCCAAACUUUAAAGAGAAGAAAACUAAGAACAUGAUAUCCAGGAUAUUAGUUGACGCUUUUAAAGUAUUUUGUACUGACUUCCGAUUUACUUUAUAUUCAUUACGUCAUAGUCUUAAUCGGGAACCGUUUAACACAUAAAUUGAAUAUUGGAAGUCCUGUACACUAUGUGUGAGUAAAUAUGAUCUUAUAAAAUGUAAAAUGGACUGUGAGUAUUGGAUUUAGUCUGAGGAGUGCCAUAUUAUCCGAAGAAAGGAUCAAUUUUAAACUUAUCACUUACAACAUUUAAAUACAGAAAUAAUGGUUAACAAAAAGUCUUCUCAUUAGAAGACUAGAAAUUUGGAAACUGAACAAAAUCUUAGAUGACAUCUUCAUUCGAACUCGAUGACAAACUUGAAUCUAAAUAUUACCAGAAUGCAUCACAUUCGUAGCCAAACUUUAAAGAGAAGAAAACUAAGAACAUGAUAUCCAGGAUAUUAGUUGACGCUUUUAAAGUAUUUUGUACUGACUUCCGAUUUACUUUAUAUUCAUUACGUCAAAGUCUUAACCGGAAACCGUUUAACACAUAAAUUGAAUAUUGAAAGUCCUGUACACUAUGUGUGAGUAAAUAUGAUCUUAUAAAAUGUAAAAUGGACUGUGAGUAUUGGAUUUAGUCUGAGGAGUACCAUAUUAUCCGAAGAAAGGAUCAAUUUUAAACUUAUCACUUACAACAUUUAAAUACAGAAAUAAUGGUUAACAAAAAGUCUUCUCAUUAGAAGACCAGAAAUUUGGAAACUUAACAAAAUAUUAGAUGACAUCUUCAUUCGAACUCGAUGACAAACUUGAUUCUAAAUAUUACCAGAAUGCAUCACAUUCGCAGCCAAACUUUAAAGAGAAGAAAACUAAGAACAUGAUAUCCAGGAUAUUAGUUGACGCUUUUAAAGUAUUUUGUACUGACUUCCGAUUUACUUUAUAUUCAUUACGUCAAAGUCUUAAUCGGGAACCGUUUAACACAUAAAUUGAAUAUUGGAAGUCCUGUACACUAUGUGUGAGUAGAUAUGAUCUUAUAAAAUGUAAAAUGGACUGUGAGUAUUGGAUUUAGUCUGAGGAGUGCCAUAUUAUCCGAAGAAAGGAUCAAUUUUAAACCUAUCACUUACAACAUUUAAAUACAGAAAUAAUGGUUAACAAAAAGUCUUCUCAUUAGAAGACUAGAAAUUUGGAAACUGAACAAAAUCUUAGAUGACAUCUUCAUUCGAACUCGAUGACAAACUUGAAUCUAAAUAUUACCAGAAUGCAUCACAUUCGUAGCCAAA